GACGGAGGGUGCAAGCGUUAUCCGGAUUCAUUGGGUUUAAAGGGUACGUAGGCGGCUUGGUAAGUCAGUGGUGAAAACUAGCAGCUCAACUGUUAGCGUGCCAUUGAUACUGCUAGGCUCGAGUAUAGUCGAGGUGGGUGGAAUUCUACAUGUAGCGGUGAAAUGCAUGGAUAUGUAGAGGAACACCGAUAACGAAGGUAACUCACUAGGCUAUUACUGACGCUGAGGUACGAAAGCGUGGGGAGCAAACAGG
rnacentral:rRNA from 1 species